rnacentral:rRNA from 1 species
UGAGGAAUAUUGGUCAAUGGCCGGAAGGCUGAACCAGCCAAGUCGCGUGAGGGAAGACGGCCCUACGGGUUGUAAACCUCUUUGUCAGGGAGCAAACCGUUCCACGUGUGGAGCGUCGAG